rnacentral:rRNA from 1 species
AUGAACGCUGGCGGCGUGCCUCAUACAUGCAAGUCGCGCGAACAGACGAGGAGCUUGCUCCUCUGACGUUAGCGGCGGACGGGUGAGUAACACGUGGAUAACCUACCUAUAAGACUGGGAUAACUUCGGGAAACCGGAGCUAAUACCGGAUAACAUGUUGAACCGCAUGGUUCAACAGUGAAAGACGGUUUUGCUGUCACUUAUAGAUGGAUCCGCGUCGCAUUAGCUAGUUGGUAAGGUAACGGCUUACCAAGGCAACGAUGCGUAGCCGACCUGAGAGGGUGAUCGGCCACACUGGAACUGAGACACGGUCCAGACUCCUACGGGAGGCAGCAGUAGGGAAUCUUCCGCAAUGGGCGAAAGCCUGACGGAGCAACGCCGCGUGAGUGAAGAAGGUCUUCGGAUCGUAAAACUCUGUUAUUAGCGAAGAACAAAUGUGUAAGUAACUAUGCACGUCUUGACGGUACCUAAUCAGAAAGCCACGGCUAACUACGUG